AAGUGUUUCACUCAAUCACUCAAGUGUUUAAGGUGACACUCCACUCUCUAUUGUUCACAAGUCACAUGAAACAAAAUUGUCAUUCAUCUCAAACAAUCAACAUCUUUACAUGCAAAUGCCAUCAAAAGGACUUUUUCAAGGCUUGUAAUGAUGUUGAGCUAACAAGAAAAAUUGGUUUUUCCAGAAUACAAAGUCCUUGAGUUAAGAGAGCUUUCAAAGUAUUUAACAAUUUAAGCACAACUCUCUUCCUCACCAAUCUCACUUAGUCCCAACUUUUUCCCCUUUUUCUUUAUCAUUGAGCUCCUCUUCAUGCUUUUCUUCUUUUCUUUUCUUUUUCUCAUGAAUUUUUUUUCUUUUCACAACAUUCGAGCUCAAUGUUUCACAAUUGCUUUUCAAUUUUCCUCCAUACAACCCCAAACUUGAACCUUUUCAUCAUAUACAAUUAAGCUCAUCCCAACUCAAGGUAAAGAAUUUAAAGACAAGGGUUCACAUCCUGUUUAAGGCUAAGGUUCAAAAAGGGUAUAAUAUUUUCAAGCAUUUUGGGUGAAAAUUUGGCUAGAGAAGGGUUCUCAAAAUUGUCCUUGAUCAUAUGACAUUUACAUGCAAUUAAAUCAAUCAUCAAGAUUAUAGCAAUAUCAUUCAUGUUUUCCUGUGAAUAAUGCAUACAACAAUAAAAACUCUGGAGCUCAAAAUCUCACACACAUGCUUCCUUACACAAAAUUCAAUCAUGCAUCCUGGUUAGCAUCAAAACCACAAUCAUAAUUCAUCACACAUCUAUUUCACCAAAUAUCAACAUGCAUUGCGACUCAAUUCUCAGCCACAUCAAAUAAUCAUCAAAUAGCUCCAUCAUUCACACCAGUCAGUCAAACAUUUUCAGGAAAAGUAUUCAAGCCAAGGAUACACACUAAAAUUAAAAUUCAACCUAUUCUAGGAAUUUAAAAUGCGAAGAGUAAAAGAAGAAAUCUAGGUUGCCUCCUAGUAGCGCUUGUUGAACGUCACGAGCCUGACCCAAACCUGAUUAGCACUUGUCAGUAAGUACAAUACCUCUCGUCACCCAUAAGUAGGUAUGCCUUCCUGAAAUCCUUCAGUGGAUUCAAAAAUUUUCUAGCAUCCCUCAGUAGAUGCUAUCAUUACUGCCAUCAGAACAUAUGGAGAACAUAUAAAUAAUCAAUAAUUUCAAUAAGAGAGAGUAUCAAAAGAUUACAUUGUAUUCCCCAACAACAAUAGGGUUUAGUUCACCAUGGACAUGGAGAAACUAGAUGAAAAAUGGAAGAAGAAUGAAAGAGCAAACCCUAGAAAAGAUGAAAAGGAGCCUAAGCAUCCAAGAGAUCCUCUGUAGAGAGCAAAAUUAGGUCUGGCCGUCUUCCCCUGUCAAAAGAAUGACUCUGAAUUCGUAGAAGGGGUAUUUAUAGGUGAGGAGUGCGUCAAAAUCAGGCCCAAGUCCAGCGUGCCACCGCCGGGCGGUUUAAGUGUGCCGCCCGGCGAUUUCCCAUAACCUGCCGCCAUCGCCCGGCGGUUUCCCUCGCCACCGCCCGGCGGCAAUCGCCAACGCCCGGCAGUUUCUCUCAGCUUGAAAUGCGGCCUAUUCGUCGUCCUGGACCGCCUGGCGGGACACUUAAGUAUGCCUCCGGGCGGUACGUCGACUCUUCAAAACUUCAUUUUUCUGUUCUUUUCUUGAGUCAACGACCUGUAUCUUUAACUCCAUUCUUCACUUUUCUCAAAUUAGCUUCAGAACAAUGCAAAACAAGCAUAAAAUUGCUAAAAACAACUUUUGACUCUCUCCAGACUCAUUUAUUGAGUUUUUCUUGAUUCUAAGCUAUUUCUGAGUAGUAAAAGGUGUAAUUUGGUCCAAAUUAACAUAUGAAAAUCACUGUUUUUCAACCUUCAUCAACACACCAAACUUAGAAUUUUGCUUGUCCUCAAGCAAAACAAAACAAAACAACAAACAAACAAAACUUGGCUUUACAUUGUUUCAUCCAAUGCCUCAACAAUCCCCAAGGUACAUGACAAAAUCACUCAAAUCAAUACCUUUAGUGAAAUCCAAAAUAAGAUGCAUGCAUGCUUUCAAUCCAGAGAUUUGCACAAUAGAUGUUAUACACUAUGAAUGAUCAAUUCACUAAGCAAAAAUGUACUCAUGAAAUUUAACAAUUCAUACCAAGCAAGUGUUUCACUCAACCACUCGAGUGUUUAAGGUGACACUCCAACUCUCUAUUGUUCACAAGUCACAUGAAACAAAAUUGCCAUUCAUCUCAAACAGUCAACAUCCUUACAUGCAAAUGCCAUCAAAAGGACUUUUCCAAGGCUUGUAAUAAGGUUGGGCUAACAAGAAAAAUUGAUUUUUCUAGAAUGCAAAAUCCUUGAGUCAAAAGAGCUAUUAAAAUAUUCAACAAUUAAGCACAACUCUCUUCCUUACCAAUUUCUCUCAUUCCCAACUUUUGCCUUAUCUUUUUCUUUUGCAUCGAGCUCUUCUUCAUGCUUUUCUUCUUUUCUUUUCUUUUUCUCAUGAAUUUUUCUUUUUCACAACAUUUGAGCUCAAUGCUUUUCACUUGCUUUUUUCAACUUUCCCCCAACAACCCCAAACUUGAACCUUUUUAUCUCAUACAAUUAAGCUCAUCCCAACUCAAGGUAAAGAAUUUCAAAACAAGGGUUCACACACUGUUUAAGGCUAAGGUUCAUAAAGGGUAAAAUAUUUUUAACCAUUUUGGGUAAAAAAUUUUGCUACAUAAGGGUUUUCAAAAAUGGCCUUAAUCAUAUGACAUUCACAUGCAAUUCAAUCGAUCAUCAAGAUUAAGGCAAUAUCAUCCAUGUUUUCCUGCAAACAAUACAUGCAACAAUACAAACUCUGGAGCUCAAAAUCUCACACACAUGCUUCCUCACACAAUUCAUUCAUACACCAUGCCUAACAUCAUGACCACAAUCAUAAAUUCAUCACCCAUCUAUUUCCUGGAUAUCAACAUGCAUUACAACUAAAUUUUCUUUCACAUCAAAUAAUCAUCAAAUAGAUCCAUCAUGCACACCAGUUAGUCAAACAUUUUCAGAACAAGUGAUAAAGCCAAGAAUACAUACCAAAAUUAAAAUUCAACCUAUUCUAGAAAAAAGAAUUAAAAUGCAAGAGUGCAAGAAGAAAUUCUAGGUUUCCUCCUAGUAGCGCUUGUUUAACGUCGCGAGCCUGACCCAAACCUAGUUGGCACUCGUCAGUAAGUGCACUAUCUUCCACCACCCAUAAGUAGGUGUACCGUCCGGAUAUCCUUCAGUGGAUACCAAAAAUUUAGCUUCCCUCAGUAGAUGCUACCCAAGAAUUGUUCACAAAAUUCAAAAAUACAAGUUCCAAAGAAAAUAAAACCAAAACCGAAAAAGAAAAUUGUUCCCAUGAGUACAAAAUUUUUCCAACAAAUUCAGCCCUUCUUCUUUGCAUUGGGAUCUCCGUCAUCCCACCAGCUCACUUUUCUUCGGUCCACCUUUUUGGUCACUUUUGAAUAUGGUCUUUGAAUCUCCACCAUUCCUUUUUCCUUCAGCUCCUUGACCAUCCAUUCCUUCCUCUUAAAUCUCACCUUGCUCCCUGGUAGGAGUGGAUCUUCUUUUGCUCUUGAAUGAAUGGUUCUUCCCCCUUUAUUUUCAGGCACCUGCAAAACACAACAACUGUCAAAAUAAUCAUCACCUGCUAAUCUUUCUUCUUGUUCUUCAUUCACCUCUGGCUUCUCAAAUGUUGUUCUUUUCACUAUCUUAAUCUCAUCCCCUUCACAGCCAGUAUGGAGAAAUAGAUACUUUAAAUCUCUCAUCAUUAUUCUUCCAUUAUGAGCAUCAAUAAACAUCUUUGAUGUUGUCAUGAAGGGUCGCCCAAAAAUCACAGGAUGCUCAUCUUCUGUUUGAACAUCCAUGACAAUGAAAUCUGCUAAAAACUCAAGACAGUCUAUUCGCACAACAACAUCUUCCACCAUUCUUGCUGGCCGUUUUUUAGAACCAUCUACCAUUGUUAUUGUCAAAUCAGAGGGUUUCAACACAAGUCCACCAAUUUCCUUGAAAAGUUCCGUGGGUAUCAAGUUGAUGCUGGAUCCAGAAUCUAUCAUAGCUUCCCCAUCCCAAUCAUUCAGGGAACAUAACAAUGUUAAACACCCUGGAUCUUUAGCCUUAGGAGGAUAAUUACUCUUUGGUGGGUGAACGACAAGAUCCUCUUCUUCAUCAGUAAGUUCCACUUCAUCCUCCUUGUUACUUUUGAUUCUUUCUGAAUGGGGAGGACUCUGCUCAUUUUCUAAAGGUGACACCAUCACUUCACCAACUUCUUUUUCCUUAAAAUUUUCCUCUCCUUCAACUUCACUGCUCAUGGGUUCAAAGAAUUCACCCAUUAACGUCUCUUCUUCUUCACUGUUAACCACAUGGAAUGGUUCAACAUCUUUCUCCCAACAAUCUUGGCUGUCUUCGUGCCAACCACUCUGACUUGCCAUAAUCUUGCACUCCUUCUUAGGGUUAGCCUCAGUGUUGGCCCUAAACUGAUUUUUUCGUGUAAUUUCUAUCCUUGUUGCCAGCUGCCCAAUUUGUGACUGCAGUGAUUUAAAGUUGGCCUGAUUGUUAUUCAUUUGCUGCUCAUAUCUUUUGUAAAAGUCAUCAAAUCGAUUACUCAGGGCUCUGACAGACUCAGUCAAAUUACUUACUUGCUGCCACAGAGGUAGUGGUUGUUGCUGCCGGACGUUUCCUCCUUGACCCGAAGAAGCAUUUUGGCUUUCCCCAAUACUUGGAUGAUUUUUCCAACCUUGGUUAGAGUUACCUUGGUUCAAAUUUCCCUGUUUAUACUGAAAUUGGGCCCCCAUAUAAUUUACGUCCUGCUGCAUCUCUUCUGUAAAAGCACAUUGACCAUUAAUAUGGUCACCACCACACAAAUCACAUAAUUGUUGUGCCUGAGAAAUAUUUCUGAGUCCCCGAGGAAGUUUAGAAACAACCUUUAGCAACUUGUCUAAUUUCUGACUGAGGAGGUGAUUUUGUGCUGAUGCUGUGUCUUCAGUGGGGAGAUGUAAAAGUCCUCCUUUAUGCGUGCCUCUUUCAUUCUGCGACACUUCAUUGAGAGCCAUCUCUUCAAUUAAAUUGUGUGCCUCAUCUGCUGUUUUUCUGUUAAUACUGCCUCCAGCCGAGGCAUCUAUCAUCAUCUUGGUCUGAGCGCGCAAACCUCCAAGGAACGCUAGCAAGUAUGAAGCUUUAUCAAACCCAUGAACUGGGGUUGCUCUCAACAAUCCUUUGAAUCUGUCCCAUGCUUGCCCUAGUGUUUCUUCCAUUCCUUGUUUAAAAGAAGAGAUUUCUAACUUCCCCUGAUUGAUCUUUGGUGGUGGGAAGAAUUUAGUAAUAAACUGUUGGACCACUGCUUCCCACGUCCUGAACGUCCCCUUCGGGAAAGAAUUCAACCAGUCUUUUGCAUUUCCUCCCAAAGAGAAAGGAAACAAACUAAGUUUGACUCUGUCGUCCGUCACUCCAGUUAUCUUUAUUGUGUUGCAAAUUUCUCCAAAGACUGUCAAAUGCUUGUAAGGAUUUUCAUUUGACAACCCAUGAAAUUGGUUGUUCUGGACUAACUGGAUAAGUGCCAGACUAAUCACCAUGCUGGUUGUGUUGUCUGUUGGCACUGCAAUGGUGUUAAAAUUCAAGGUGCCAACUGUGUUAGCUGCAUCCCCUAGAGUGCGUUUGGGAGGAGGUUGAUUGGCCACCUCCUCAAGAUUUUGUUCAAUGGUCUCAGGUGGAGUAACUUCUCGAGAAAGAGAUUUUUCACAAAAUGGACUUCUCUUUCUCCUCUCGUAUGGUAGACCUUCUAGCAAAGGUUGUUGGUUUUUCCUUCUUCUAGUAUGUAUUGUCUCCUACAUGCAAAAGAAACACACCCUAAAAGCACUUUUAAAGAAAAAUACAAAAUGCAAUAAAAGAAAAAUAAAAACAAAAAUAAUUACAAUCAAGUCAAAUUCAAUUAAUUCACACUACUAGAAAAAUAAACCUCGAGUUCCCGGCAACGGCGCCAAAAACUUGUUCACGGAUUGGCAAGUGUACCAAAUCGUACAAGUAAUAUAAAUGGUAAGACCAAGUAUCGUUUUUCCCAAGAGACUCGUAUGGCUUUCUCUUUCGCGUGAAUUAAAAUAAUAAGACAUGAAAAAUAAAAUUUAUUAAAUUGGAUUUUAAGGAAAAAAAUAUUAACAUGCAAAAUAAAUNNNNNNNNNNNNNNNNNNNNNNNNNNNNNNNNNNNNNNNNNNNNNNNNNNNNNNNNNNNNNNNNNNNNNNNNNNNNNNNNNNNNNNNNNNNNNNNNNNNNNNNNNNNNNNNNNNNNNNNNNNNNNNNNNNNNNNNNNNNNNNNNNNNNNNNNNNNNNNNNNNNNNNNNNNNNNNNNNNNNNNNNNNNNNNNNNNNNNNNNNNNNNNNNNNNNNNNNNNNNNNNNNNNNNNNNNNNNNNNNNNNNNNNNNNNNNNNNNNNNNNNNNNNNNNNNNNNCCUUGAUUAUUAGAUUGAUUAAAUUGUUAUGCGACUUUCUUAGCCUCCCCUUAACCCGAUCCCUCAGCGAAAAAUGGCCUAAUAUCAAUUACCGGCUUGCUAUCCCUAACCUCCCGUAAUAAUUAAUACCGCAUUAUGAACCGAAGUUAGCGCAAUUGAUCGUCCUACUCCUAUCCCUCAGUGGGCGGAUUUGAGGGAAACCGCCGGGCGGUUUUGCGAUUUGUGGGAAACCAUCGGGCGCCACACUUGUUCCGCCGGGCGGUGGUGUGUUGGGCCUGGGCCUGUUUUCGGCUGCGCUCCUCACCUAUAAAUAACACUAUUGCGAGUUGAGAUGUAUUCUUUUGACAGGGGAGAACAGUCAGACCUAAUUUUGCUCUCUGGAGAGGAUCUCUUGGAUGCUUAGGCACCUUUUCAUCUUUUCUAGGGUUUGCUUUUCCAUUCUUCUUCCAUUUUUCAUCUAGAUUCACCAUGAAAAUGGUGAACUAAACCCUGUUGUUGUUGGGGGAAACAAUGUAAUCUUUUGAUACUCUCUGUUAUUGAAACUCUUGAUUGUUUAUAUGGUUUCCAUAUAAUUUGAUUGUUAAUUGUUGGGUUCUCAUCUAUGCUUAAUGCCUUUAUCGUUUAACUCAUUCGAUAACUGAUGUUUGUCUUUAUUAAUACGGGGAUGUACAAUAAUGUCAUGAACUGAUGAGUAAUUUCUUGAUUAUGCAUUAUCACCUAGGGAUAGGGGUAUGACGAUAAAUUGCAUUUAACUUCUGCGCUAUAAUGCUGUAUUAAUUGCUAGGGGAGUGAUGGGUUGUCGCGGCCCAUACAAAUUUGAUUGCAUAUGAGAAAUGUAGUAUAGACUAGGAAGUGACUCCUAGGUCGUCUCUCAAGUACCAAAUGUGGUUCGAGAAUUAAGUCAGACACGAAGUCGAGGGGGGAGGUUGGGUUUGUGAAAAGAAUGUGAAAACGGAUAAACAAUCAAAACAUGGAUACAAAGAGUAAUGUGAAAAGAACAAUGCGAAACGAAAUGUAAACAGGAAUACAAAGACGGAAUCAAAUACUGAAUAAAAACGGUUGGUCAUUAACUCAAUUACUAUGCUUCCUAUCCUAGAUUAACAACAAGUACACACUACUCUAAUCCAAAUCCAACACGAAUCACCCAACUAAGCGAAAGCUAAUCCGGUCUUUAAAAAUGCAAACUAAGCGAAUGCAAUGCUCAAUUCCAAUCAGUCAGCCACCAUGCAGUCUAAUCAACUAAGCGAAGAUUAAACAUCGAUUAGGCAACAAAGCGUAUACCUAAUCCCAGGCAUACAACAAAUUAAAUAUUGAGCCAAAUCAGAGCAACAAUAUGAUAAUUAAAGUGCUAAAAUCUCAAGGAAAAAUGUAAUAUCGCUAAUGACCAUCCCGACUAACCUAAGCUAACAUUGCAAUUAAAUUAUCAAAUCAAGCAAAACAGACAAUAUUAAAGUAAAUGAAAACAAUAGAUCGAACAUUGCAAUAGGUAAAAUAUACGAACGCGAGACAAAAAGUUAAAUGCACAUUGAAUAUAUAAAAAAAAAAUAAAAACAUAAUGAUAAACACAAAAUGCGCUACAAUCCAAAUAAAAUAAAACAUGAAACAUGAAUGACAUAAUAAAGUGACAUAAUAAAGUUACUAAAAAAAAUAAAAAAAAUAAAAAGUUGAAUGAUAAAACGUUGAAACACGUUAAAUAAGUAUAGGCUAAGAAUAAAAAAAAAAGAACUUUUGUGAGUUAUCCAAUUCAAGGACGUGAACUGCUUCCUAUUUCUCCAACUAAAAAGUAAAACAACUACUUACCAAGAAUUUGAAAUGUGCUGCCACUAAAACUUCAAUAAAAUAAGUGCAUUAACCAAAUUGAAAAGGCAAUAAAGCAGCAUGGAGCCCUCCUUCAAUUAAAGCAACGUUUUAAUCCUUAAGCUAGACGUGGCAGGCCUUUAUCCCAAAAGAAAUUGAAAGUGGAUUCUCCCAAAAUGAAAUGACCGUGCCUCUUCAAUUGAAAAGUGAAUCAACAUUUUGUUUGCUAGACAUCACCGUGAAUUCAUCUAAAUUGCUGCAGUGUGCUUGUGCUCUUCAUUCACCGUGUGCAAUCUAAAAUAAAAUAACACAAAAUCCUCCUUUCUCCAAUUGAAAAAUCAGCGCCUACAACUAAAUGAAAUGACCAGCAGCUUAAUUGAUUUUAGUACUCCAAAUGAUAAAGCACUACAUCACCUCCUCAUCACUUUUUCAUUUUCAAAGAAAUUGAAAGUAAAUAAAGGAAAAAUAACAUCCAGCUGCCAACACGUAUCAUCCACAGAACCAGCGUUGCACAAUAUGAAAGGGAAAUGAUCUUAAAAAGAAAUGCACCAUGAAUAUGCUGCAGUGUUGCACAAUAACAAGAAAAGAGAGAAAAAAAACGGUUCUUCAUUCAGCCAUAAUAAAAAACUCAAGACAUGAUUGAAAGAAAAUGUUAUCUGAAAGAAACGUUCCAGCACCCCCUUCAAUUGUUUCUGCCGAGAAAAAUUACUCCAAAAAAUGGGUGACGGCUGCUAGCUUAAAGCAAGGCCAUGUGUCACCAAAAAUUAAGGUGGGGUCCACCCUAAAACCCUAGGGUUUGGUGCCAAGUGUCCCUCAAAGUUUGGGCUCAUCAUGAAAUUUGCCAACAUUGGCCCACAAUGUAAAAGUUUGUCUAAAAAUCCUAAACUACUAAAUUACAAUAUAACUAAAAUUUAAAAUGUCUAAAAUGAGAGUCUUGAAUUUAUUUGAUAGCACUUCAAAUGUCCUAAAUUGUGUUUCCAAAAUUUUCACUGAAAAUAAUAAUGCAAAUAAUUAGCUCAGAAAAUUCAAAUUAAUUAAAAUUAGAAUUUCCGGUCAAAUUAAGCAUAAUUAGGAAAAACGAGAAAAUAUCGGACAUUUAAGCACAAUUCCCUGAUUAAUUUGAGCACAAUAAACUAAGUGAAAUCGAUAAAAUAUCGACUCAUCAAAAUAGACCACACUUAGUCUUAUGCACUCCUGGGCAAAAUCAAGACGCAAAGCAGGGAACAGUUCAACGAACAUCAGGGAAUUGACACAGACUCAACAGACAGACAACAAAGACUAACAGGUACAGAAACAAACAAAAUUACAGUCCUCAAGAAAUCUGGACAAGGAAAAGUAGUAGACAGUAUCCACAAAGAAUCAGAGAAAACAGAUACACAGAGAAAUCAUCCAAGCAAUUCUAAGCAUGGCAAAAUAAUCAAUCAGUUCAAGAGGUGAAUCAAAAGCAACAAAAUCUCACAGAUGCACACUAUCAGUGUUUCUGUCAAGUGUCUAAGGUAAACAAUUUCAACUCAAUGCACUCAAGAAAGCAAACAACAAACAAACUUGGCAAGCCUCUAAUAUCAACACUCAAAACAUAUGCAUGUUCAAAUCAAAAGGUCUUUUCAUGGUUGUAAUGGGGCCAAGGACAAGGGAGGAUAAAUAUGGAUGAGAAGCUACUGUUGAAAAAUUGACAAGUGUACCAAAUCGUACAAGUAAUAUAAAUGGUAAGACUAAGUGUCAUUUUUUCCAAGAGACUCGUAUGACUUUCUCGUUCGCGUUAAUUAAAAUAAUAAGACUUGAAAAAUAAAAAUUAAUAAAUUGGAAUUGAGAACAAAAUAUAUUAACAUGUAAAAAUAAAGUUGAUUCAAUUGACAAGCGAAAACAAUGGAGGAAUGGAUGUUGUUGGGGGUUUACAAUUUCAUUUAUUCCGCUCUCUCUUACAUACUACCCUUGAAUAUUAGAUUGAUUAAUUGUUAUGCGACUUUCUUAGCCUCCCCUUAACCCGAUCCCUCGGUGAAAAGGGCCUAAUAUUAACUACUGGCUUGCUAUCCCUAGCCUCCCCUAGUAAUUAAUACCGCAUUAUAAACAGAAGUUAGCGUAAUUGAUCGGCCUACCCCUAUCCCUAGGUGGUAUUGCAAAAUCAAGAGAUUACUCACCAGUUCAUAUGAUAACCCAACAAUAAAGACAAACAUCGAUAUACCGAAUGAGUUAAACGAUAAAAGCCUUAAGCACAUAUGAUAACCCAACAAUAAUCAAUAAAAGCAUAUGGAGACCAUAUAAAUAAUCAAGAGUUUUCAAUAAGAGAGAGCAUCAAAAGAUUACAUAGUUUCCCCCAACAACAAUAGGGUUUAGUUCACCAUAGACAUGGUGAAACUAGAUGAAAAAUGGAAGAGGAAUGGAAAAGCAAACCCUAGAAAAUAUGAAAAGGAGCCUAAGCAUCCAAGAGAUCCUUUCCAGAGAGCAAAAUUAGGUUUGGCCGUUCUCCCCUGUCAAAAGAAUGACUCUGAAUUCGUAAGGGGGGUAUUUAUAGGUGAGGAGCGCGUCAAAGAAAAAACAGGCCCAAGUCCAGCGUGCCACCGCCGGGCGGUUUAAGUGUGCCGCCCGGUGGUUUCCCUUAACAUGCCAUCGCCGCCCGGCGGCCAUCGCCACCGCCUGACGGUUUCCCUCAGCGUGAAAUGCCCUGCCUACUCCUCGUCAUUGAUCGCCCAACGGUUUAAGAGUGCUUCUUGGCGGUACGUCGACUCUUCAAAACUUCAUUUUUCUGCUCUUUUCUUGAGUCAACGACUUGUAUCUUCAACUCCAUUCAUUCUUUUCUCAAAUUAGCUACAAAAGAAUGCAAAAUAAGCAUAAAAUCGCUAAAAACAACUUCUGACUUUCUCCAGACUCAUUUAUUGAGUUGUGCUUGAUUCUGAGCUCAUUCGAAGUAGUAAAGGAUGUAAUUUGGUCCAAAUUGACAUAUGAAAAUAACUUUUUUUCAACCUUCAUCAACACCCCAAACUUAGAAUUUUGAUUGUCCUCAAGCAAAACAAACAAAUCAAUCACACAAAACAAAACUUGGCUUUAUACGAUUUCAUCAAAUGCCUCAACAAUCCUAAGGUACAUGACAAAACCACUCAAUUCAAUAUCCUUAGUGAAAUCCAAAAUAAGAUGCAUGCAUCCUUUCAACCCAAAGAUUGCAUAAUAGAUGUUAUAUACUAUGAAUGAUCAAUCCACUAAGGAAAAAUUUACUCAUGAAAUUUAACAAUUCAUACCACGUAGGUGUUUCACUCAAUCACUCAAGUGUUGCAGGUGACACUGCAACUCUCAAUUACUCACAAGUCGCAUGAAACAAAAUUGCUAUUCAUCUAAAACAAUCAACAUCUUUACAUGGAAAUGCCAUCAAAAGGACUUUUCCAAGGCUUGAAACGAGGUUGGGCGAACAAGAAAGAAUUGGUUUUUCUAGAAUGCAAAAUCCUUGAGUCAAGAGAGCUAUCAAAAUUUCAACAUUUAAGCACAACUCUCACCAAUGUCUCUCAUUCCCAACUUUCCCCUUUNCUUUUUCUUUUGCAUUGAGCUCUUCUUCAUGCUUUUCUUCUUUUCUUUUCUUUUUCUCAUGAAUUUUCUUUUCACAAUAUUUGAGCUCAAUGCUUUUCACUUGCUUUUUCAAUUUUCCCCUGCACAACCCCA
rnacentral:lncRNA from 1 species